rnacentral:rRNA from 1 species
GCAAGUCGAGCGGUAGCACAGAGAAGCUUGCUUCUUGGGUGACGAGCGGCGGACGGGUGAGUAACGCGUGGGAAUCUACCUGGUAGUGGGGGACAACAGUCGGAAACGACUGCUAAUACCGCAUACGCCCUUUGGGGGAAAGUGGGGGAUCUUCGGACCUCACGCUAUCAGAUGAGCCCGCGUCGGAUUAGCUUGUUGGUGAGGUAAAGGCUCACCAAGGCGAUGAUCCGUAGCUGGUCUGAGAGGAUGACCAGCCACACUGGGACUGAGACACGGCCCAGACUCCUACGGGAGGCAGCAGUGGGGAAUAUUGGACAAUGGGGGCAACCCUGAUCCAGCCAUGCCGCGUGUGUGAAGAAGGCCUUCGGGUUGUAAAGCACUUUCAGCUGUGAGGAAAGGCAAGUGGUUAAUACCCGCUUGCUGUGACGUUAACAGCAGAAGAAGGACCGGCUAACUCCGUGCCAGCAGCCGCGGUAAUACGGAGGGUCCGAGCGUUAAUCGGAAUUACUGGGCGUAAAGCGCGCGUAGGUGGUUCAGUCAGUCAGAUGUGAAAGCCCCGGGCUCAACCUGGGAACUGCACCUGAUACUGCUGAGCUAGAGUACGGUAGAGGGUGGUGGAAUUUCCGGUGUAGCGGUGAAAUGCGUAGAGAUCGGAAGGAACACCAGUGGCGAAAGCGACUACCUGGACCGAUACUGACACUGAGGUGCGAAAGCGUGGGUAGCAAACAGGAUUAGAUACCCUGGUAGUCCACGCCGUAAACGAUGUCAACUAGCCGUUGGGGGACUUGAUCCUUUAGUGGCGAAGCUAACGCGAUAAGUUGACCGCCUGGGGAGUACGGCCGCAAGGUUACAACUCAAAGGAAUUGACGGAA